rnacentral:rRNA from 2 species
GGACGCUUACCACUUUGUGGUUCAUGACUGGGGUGAAGUCGUAACAAGGUAGCGCUAGGGGAACCUGGCGCUGGAUCACCUCCUUAAACGAUGAU